rnacentral:rRNA from 1 species
UACGUAGGGUGCAAGCGUUAAUCGGAAUUACUGGGCGUAAAGCGUGCGCAGGCGGUUUUUCAAGACAGAUGUGAAAUCCCCGGGCUUAACCUGGGAAUGGCAUUUGUGACUGGAAGGCUAGAGUGUGUCAGAGGGGGGUAGAAUUCCACGUGUAGCAGUGAAAUGCGUAGAGAUGUGGAGGAAUACCGAUGGCGAAGGCAGCCCCCUGGGUCAAGAUUGACGCACAUGCACGAAAGCGUGGGGAGCAAACAGG